GGUGCCUCUGCGCUCCUUUGUGCCUUCUCAUCUUUUAAACACGUUAACACCACGUAUUCCCUGAACUCAUCCUUAUCAACAAGCAUUAACUGUGAAAAAGGCGUCGGGAUACAGAGAGAUGGGAGGCUGCUUCUUGCCCUACAGAAGUUAAUUAUCUACUUGGGACGAGGACCCACGUGUACAGAUAUUUUGGAGGAUAGGGCUGAAGGAUGCCUCAGUGGAACCAUCGGUAGAUACCUACGAAAUUUUAAGGAGGGGUCAUGGUCUGCUGCCCUGGUUGGUGACUAACAAAGCCGAAUUCAGAUGAGGAGACUAGAAUCCAUUCCAGGUGUGAGCCAAAGGUGGAAACCACUACUGGGGAGAGAAGUAAAUGUCGAGUAGGAAGGAUGGUUCAGCAGAGAAAACGUGAGACAAAGUUGCAAAGGGCAUGAAAGAAGCAGAAGGGCAAGAAGAGAAAUUGGGGACUUCUGCAGAGUUUUUUCAACAAGCAUUUACUGAAUGGCAGGCACUGUGCUGAGCUUUGGCUGAGAGACGGACCCAGCUGAAAGCUGAUGCAUCUCCAUCAGGACAUGGACUCACACGGGCAGCUCAGAGAGGACAAAUGAGGCGGCAUGAGAAGGACUACCCUCAGGUUUGCCUCUGCUCCAUCUGUAUGCCUAUCGAAUGUAGGAUCUCAGCCAACCACUCCUUACUUAGCAUGUGUAAAAACCACAUUCAUACCAUUCUGAUGAUUUUACUCAGACCCUCGUAUCUUGGGAC